rnacentral:snoRNA from 1 species
ACCCUCCAGAGCCCCUGCCCGUCAGAACCAAACCCUGGUGUGAGUGGUUAUAAAAGGAGGAAAAGUGGAAGUGGAACCAACUUACACCUUGCUCACGGCACCUGGAGUGUGUCAAAGUGGA